UACGGAGGGUGCGAGCGUUAUCCGGAUUUACUGGGUUUAAAGGGUGUGUAGGCGGGCUGGUAAGUCAGGGGUGAAAUCCCGGAGCUCAACUCCGGAACUGCCUUUGAUACUACUGGUCUUGAAUAUUGUUGAGGUGGGCGGAAUGUGUCAUGUAGCGGUGAAAUGCAUAGAUAUGACACAGAACACCGAUUGCGAAGGCAGCUCACUGGGCAAUGAUUGACGCUGAGGCACGAAAGCGUGGGGAGCAAACAGG
rnacentral:rRNA from 1 species